CUCACCAUUUUUAGCUCUACAACCUGUAUACCUCCGUCGUCAGCCUACCUCGUGAGUGACCCUUAGUGAGCCCAAUGUUUAUUCACCAACACGUCAGGUCAAGGUGCAGUAUAUGAAAUGGGAAGAGAUGGGCUACACUCUCCAACAUGGAAAACACGAAAGACUUUAUGAAAUUUAGUCAGAAGGCGGAUUUAGAAGUAAAAUGAGAUCAUUAAGCUCCUUUUAAUACGGCACUGGGGUGUGUACACACCGCCCGUCACCCUCCUCAAAUAAUAAUUACUUAGUAUUUAACUCUAAUUAACCUACACGAGGAGGCAAGUCGUAACAUGGUAAGCGUACCGGAAGGUGCGCUUGGAAC
rnacentral:rRNA from 1 species